rnacentral:misc_RNA from 1 species
GAUGAAGAACGUAGCGAAAUGCGAUAAGUAAUGUGAAUUGCAGAAUUCAGUGAAUCAUCGAAUCUUUGAACGCACAUUGCGCCCGCCACUAUUCUGGCGGGCAUGCCUGUUCGAGCGUCAUUUCAACCAUCAAGCCCCCCGGCUUGUGUUGGGGACCUGCGGCUGCCGCAGGCCCUGAAAAGCAGUGGCGGGCUCGCUGUCACACCGAGCGUAGUAGCAUACAUCUCGCUCUGGGCGUGCUGCGGGUUCCGGCCGUUAAACCACCUUCAUAACCCAAGGUUGACCUCGGAUCAGGUAGGAAGACCCGCUGAACUUAAGCAUAUCAAUAAGCGGAGGA